CCCUUAGAUGUUCUGGGCUGCACGCGCGCUACACUGAUGCAUCCAGCAAGUAUAUCCUCUGCCGAGAGGCCUGGGCAAUCUUGAAAACAUGCAUCGUGAUAGGGAUAGUUUAUUGCAAUUAUUAAUCUUGAACGAGGAAUUCCUAGUAAACGCAGAUCAUCAAUCUGCAUUGAUUACGUCCCUGCCCUUUGUACACACCGCCCGUCGCACCUACCGAUUGAAUGGUCCGGUGAAGCCUCGGGAUUACGACCAAUGCCUUCAUUGGCUUUGUUUGUGAGAACUUGUCUGAACCUUAUCAUUUAGAGGAAGGUGAANUCGUAACA
rnacentral:rRNA from 1 species